UACGUAGGGUGCGAGCGUUGUCCGGAAUUAUUGGGCGUAAAGAGCUCGUAGGCGGUUCGUCGCGUCGGCUGUGAAAUCCCGAGGCUCAACCUCGGGUCUGCAGUCGAUACGGGCGGACUGGAGUUCGGCAGGGGAGACUGGAAUUCCUGGUGUAGCGGUGAAAUGCGCAGAUAUCAGGAGGAACACCGAUGGCGAAGGCAGGUCUCUGGGCUGUAACUGACGCUGAGGAGCGAAAGCAUGGGGAGCGAACAGG
rnacentral:rRNA from 1 species